GAACGCUGACAGAAUGUUAACACAUGCAAGUCAACUUGAAUUUGGGUUUUAACUUAGGUUUGGGUGGCGGACGGGUGAGUAACGCGUAAAGAACUUGCCUCACAGCUAGGGACAACAUUUGGAAACGAAUGCUAAUACCUAAUAUUAUGAUAAUAGGGCAUCCUAUAAUUAUGAAAGCUAUAAGCGCUGUGAGAGAGCUUUGCGUCCCAUUAGCUAGUUGGAGAGGUAACGGCUCACCAAGGCGAUGAUGGGUAGCCGGCCUGAGAGGGUGAUCGGCCACAAGGGGACUGAGACACGGCCCUUACUCCUACGGGAGGCAGCAGUGGGGAAUAUUGGACAAUGGACCAAGAGUCUGAUCCAGCAAUUCUGUGUGCACGAUGAAGUUUUUCGGAAUGUAAAGUGCUUUCAGUUGGGAAGAAAGAAAUGACGGUACCAACAGAAGAAGUGACGGCUAAAUACGUGCCAGCAGCCGCGGUAAUACGUAUGUCACGAGCGUUAUCCGGAUUUAUUGGGCGUAAAGCGCGUCUAGGUGGUUAUGUAAGUCUGAUGUGAAAAUGCAGGGCUCAACUCUGUAUUGCGUUGGAAACUGUAUAACUAGAGUACUGGAGAGGUAAGCGGAACUACAAGUGUAGAGGUGAAAUUCGUAGAUAUUUGUAGGAAUGCCGAUGGGGAAGCCAGCUUACUGGACAGAUACUGACGCUGAAGCGCGAAAGCGUGGGUAGCAAACAGGAUUAGAUACCCUGGUAGUCCACGCCGUAAACGAUGAUUACUAGGUGUUGGGGGUCGAACCUCAGCGCCCAAGCAAACGCGAUAAGUAAUUCGCCUGGAGUACGUACGCAAGUAU
rnacentral:rRNA from 1 species